GGGGCUGAUCUGGGCUCGACGGUGAUUGGAAGCCCAACGUGCAUGCCGAGUUGCAUAGCCACUCGUUAAACGCCGUGCAAAAAAGCUAGUUGCGAACGACGCAAACUACGCCCUCGCCGCUUAACCGGUGAGCGGUUGACCAGGUGGUGUUGAUGCCCCUGAAUCAACCGUCGACUCUCAUCAACUAAGCUCGAAGCGCGCCCUUCGCCUAGAGACGAAAAUCCCAAGGGGAUAGGCGUCAACGAUCCCUGUCUGUCGGGGAGUUGACGAUGAAAACUAAAGACAGACUAAGCAUGUAGGUCUUUGGCGCGGAUGGUUGUCGGACGCGGGUUCGAUUCCCGCCAGCUCCACCA
rnacentral:tmRNA from 1 species